rnacentral:rRNA from 1 species
GAAUCUUGCGCAAUGGGCGAAAGCCUGACGCAGCGACGCCGCGUGAGUGAUGAAGGCCCUCGGGUUGUAAAGCUCUGUGGGGAGAGAAGAAUAAGUGCGGGCUAACACCCCGCAUGAUGACGGUAUCUCCUUAGCAAGCACCGGCCAACUCUGUGCCCGCCGCCGCGGUAAGACAGAGGGUGCAAACGUUGUUCGGAAUUACUGGGCGUAAAGCGCGUGUAGGCGGCAGGGCAUGUCGGAUGUGAAAUCCCAUGGCUCAACCAUGGAAGUGCACCCGAAACUGCCCAGCUAGAGUCUCGGAGAGGAAGGCGGAAUGCUUGGUGUAGAGGUGAAAUUCGUAGAUAUCAAGCAGAACACCGGUGGCGAAGGCGGCCUUCUGGACGAUGACUGACGCUGAGAUGCGAAAGCGUGGGGAGCAAACAGG